rnacentral:lncRNA from 1 species
UCCAAGGGAGAGGCCAUUCUCUUUUGGUUGGUCGUGUGAAAGGAUAGACAAGAACCCCCAAAAUGGUGGUUGAGAGCUAGAUUGGUGAAAGUUAUUGAGGGCUGAAUAUACCAUAUAUAUGAACUUGUGAAGUGGAAAGUACUUGCAUUACUUUGGGACAGAUCUAUAUGUAGCACGUGAAUACUUUCUAGUUUCUAGGACCAAGAAAGGGAAACUUGUUAUGCGCAGUGGGUUGGACAUCAAGCAUAAGUGACUGUAUUUUGCAGUUGAUAUAUCAAGAUAAGUUUGCAAAAGAAAGUAUGAAGAGUGAAAAGUUUUUUAUUGUUACUUUGUUUUCUGCAAUCUUAUAAAAAAUGCAUAACAUGUAUGGCUAGGUUCCUCAAAAAAAGUACUGGGUAUUCGAAGCUUCUAAAUAGUGUUUGUCUUCCUGUCACUUGGAAAUGCAAGGGAUAAUAGGAGUAUCUCUUCCUCGAUUUUCAAGCCGCAGAGCCAUCACCUAGUUUGGACUUUGGAGUGGCUGGAAAGGUUGAUUAUACAGUUAUUGUCAUAUAUGGAAAAAUCAAUUGGAAUUUGAGGGGUUGCAACAAUUGAAGUUCUUCAUUACUGUACUGGUUACUGGUUAGUACUUUAUAUUUCUUCAGAAUAAGUCGGUUGUUUUUCUUAGUUUACUUUUGGAAUAACCCAUUUUCACUACAUGGAUUUAGACCCUUAUUAUGCUAUGUUCAAUGAUGGAAGUAGAAUGUGUUAUAAAUUCCAGCCUGCUCCCUUUUGAACUUCCAUAAAUUGACAUGUGUAACAACUUCUGUUUAGGAGGUAUAUAUUUAAACAAGGAACAAAUUUCAACUAAUAAUAUUGGACAUUUUCAGACGUAAGGAAGAGGUUCUCUGGCUCGGAAGAACGUCUAUUUCCUUUUCUUUGUCUGCAUUUGCAACAAAGGCCUCCUUAGGUAUCUUUUUUGGUUAUUAGCAUUUGCAGCAUUUGGAGCUCUUGUGUUUGUGAGUUAAAUAAAUUGCGUUUUAAAUAAUUUGUUUCUAGAGCAUUUGGACUUUAAAAUGCUCCAAAGGCAUGUACUAAACGAUUUAAACGUUGUCUAACCAAACACGCACUUAAACUUGUUGCCGGUUGCCAAAAGAGCCUGAGCAGCUCCUGCAGCAAGUGCAAAAAGAAUAUGUCGAAAGUGUCUCACUCACUCGAGGAUGUUGAAAGAGAGCGAAGUUCUUGGAUUGAAUUAAUAAUCCAUGUAUAUAACAUAUGAAAUGAUAAGUGAUAUACACAUUUUUUAUACAUUUUAAUAUUCUCAUAUUUAUUAUUUUAUAUGCUUAUUUUAUUUAACUAAUAUAUUUUAUUUUGUUUUGUAAGAGAUAACAUUUGUUUUUCUUGAGUAAUAAAUAAAAGAUUUAUAUCUACCUUUAAAGAUGAAAAAUGACUCUUAGAUGAUUACUAUAUAAAGAUGGAAGUCAAGAAGGAAAGAAGAGGAAAAGAGGGAACACAACUGUCAGAGUUCAAUGAACCUAAAUUAGGGCACAAAUGUAUUCUCCCUAUAAAUAAGCCUCUUGUUUUAAAGAGAAGGACACCCCUUGUUAUUUUCUUUUCCUUAGUUUUUUCGUUGGUGUAGAAGGAAGUAAGAUAUUUAGAGCUUUUGUCUUUUUUCUUAUUCCAAUCAUGUGUGGUAUUACGUACUGUCAGGGAGUAUUUGUAAAUUUCUUCUAUUGAUAUAAUAGAAAUUCUCUUUUAAUUAUUUUUCUUAUUUCAUGCAAAUACUAUAGUACUAAUAUUAUUUGUUUUUGUUUUUAAUUCCAUGGCUAGCUAAAUUUCUAAUACCUAGGAUGAUGAUGAAAUUAGGUAUUUCAUAAUAAUAUUCUCUUUCCGUUCUGAAAUUAAUGUCUAAUUGUUGUCGCCUUCAUGUUUUCCUCCGCAUAAAUUGCAUAUGAUUCUUAUAUUGAUUGUGAGGUUUUGAUAAGUUAUAGUUAAUCUGUGAAUUUUUCAUAACUUAUGCUUGCCCAUAUUAAUUAUAUGAAUCAUUAUUUUUAAAGGGAAUGAAAAAUAAUUUGAGAAUUAAUUUAGGAAAUAAGAAAUUAUUUAUUAUGUUAAUAUUUGGUGGAUUCUAAUUCCUAAGUAUCUUUUCUCAUUAAUAGUUUCCGUUAUUAAUUAAUAGUUUGCAUAAUUUUGUUAAUAAAUUUUUUCCACCAUUUUUGUUUCUAAUUUGCCUAAAAUAUUAAUUAAGGAUAUAUUAAAGAAUUGAUCUAGUCUCCGUGGUUCGAUCUGCACUUGUCAAAUCUAUAAUAGACGUUGUGCACUUGCAGUACAUAAUUUUAUCACAUCAAAUUUUUGGUGCCGUUGCCGGGGAUUAGACUUAAUUUUAUAUUCCUUAAUUUUUAUUUAUUCGAAUUAGUUUUUCUUCUCUUCUAAUAUUUUUUUUAUUUUUCAGAAUUAUCGAAGCGGAUCAACGGUGCGG